GUCACUAUAAUCAAUAGUGUAUUGCCUGUAGAUCUAGUACCUGUACUAAUAUUAGUAGAUGUAGAUCUAUAAUAAUAAUACUUUUUAAUAGUAGAAAGUAGAUUUAUAAUCUAUCAAUUCUAUCUAAUCUAGAUCUAAAUCUAGACUUCACUUUCACAUCACAUGAUUAUUGAUACAGACAGUGAAUGAAACGAAUGCAGGGAUUAUAUUAUAGUUUAUACUGACUUAUAGCUCUACCAGUUGAUUAUCAUCAUCUGAGGUCAUCUCGAAUAAUAAUCUAGACUAUUAUUAACAAGUAGAACCAUGCCAACCAGUUCUGAUGAUGUACCAGAAUGGCUCAAGGAUCAUACUUAUACUAUUUCUACUCUCUGGGCAGACAUUAAUAAUAUUGGCAUCCAUUCAAUAUUUAUUUUAUGUUUGGAAAUGCAAGAAAAAGGCAUGCAUUCCUGACAAGUCAAUGAUUGGUUGCACCUCUUAAAGAUAACUUUCUGUUAUGAGAAAAGAUGAGAUUCUUGGACUCCUGCAUAGCACCACCAGAAAGGAAAAUCCCAUCAUGUUGCAAAAUAAAAGUCUUGGACCAAUUUUAAUUUAAGAUAUAUAUAUUAUACUGUAAGCUCUAUACAUAUUUAUGUAUAUCCUGUCAUUCAGCCUACAGGUUUGGAUUUAGUAUUUCUUUAAAUCUGUUUGAUAUUGUACUUGAAAACUAUUAAUCUGAGCCCCAUUAAAACAAUAGGGAGUGCAGUGAACGAGUGGUAAAGCACUUGGCUUCUGAACUGAGGGUUCCUGGGUUCAAUUAAGACUGGGAUUUUCAAUUUCAGAAUUCAAAAGGCUAGGGAUACAUGGCAAUAGUAAGGAAUAAGUAAAGGCAGUUUGGGGAUCCAUGGCUGAAUGGUUAAGUCAUGGGUUUGAAUCUCUGUGAAGACUCGGAUUAAAAUUUUUUAGAUUUUUGGGUGCCCCUGAGUCCACCUAACUCUAAUGGGUAGCUGACUUUUGUUUUGAAAAGUAAAGAUGGUUGGUUGUUGUGCUGGCCACAUGAUGCACUGGCCAAAGAAUCAAAUGACCUUAACAUCAUCUGCCCUAUAGAUUGUGACGUCUGAAAUGGGAUAUUUUUUCAAAAGGUGGUUGGUUGUUGUGCUGGGUACAUGACACCCUUGCUAACCAUGGGGCACAGAAACUGAUAAACUUUAUAUCAUCUGCCCCAUAGAUUGCAAGAUAUGUAAGGGAAAUUUUACUUUUUUAAAAUUAAAAUAAGAAUCUAUCAAAAGUAAACAUAAAAUAUGGUGCAUUCUCCUUAAAACUAAAACAUGGUGCGAAAGUUUAAAAUGUUGGCAAAAAAAAGCAACAUCAUAUAUUCUUAAUUCCCUUUGCAAAACUUACUGAGAAGAACAUGCAUGUUGUUCCCUCAUAAGUUUCUUGACAGAGGAAAUCUUGUUUAUAUUAGAUUUGAAUUAAGCAAAUUAAGAAAAAAAUUAUAAUCAUUAUUUCAAAUGGUUGUAUCUAAACCUUAUGAAUUAUUUUUCUGUUAUAAGUAUAUUGAGAUUAAUGGAUAAUCAUGAAAUUGUUAAAUAAUUGCUGCUAUCAUUCCAUUGACUAAAGAACCAUAAUUUUUUUUUUUUUUUAAUUAAUUUCAAAAUGAUUUUUUUCAAGCAUAGAGUUCAUAUAGAUCUUGAGUGAAUUUUUUUUUUUAUUUGACUAAUGCUUCAAUUUUAUUGUAUCAUAUAAGUUGUUAAUUUUUAUUACCCAGAAUAUUUAAAAAAUGAGUACACUAUUUUCAUGUAAUAAUGUAACUUGGUAUUCACACAAUGCUCAAAAUACACCAUAAUCUUUAGGCCAUACAGAUUUGUAUAAAUUAACUUGUUUAAAUACAUUGUAAAUGUAUAUUGUUUGGAUAAGAAUAAAGUU